rnacentral:rRNA from 1 species
CGCAAGCCUGACGGAGCAAGACCGCGUGCGGGAUGACGGCCUAAUGGUUGUAAACCGCUUUUCUCUGGGAAGAUGAUGACGGUACCAGAGGAAUCAGCCUCGGCUAACUCCGUGCCAGCAGCCGCGGUAAUACGGAGGAGGCAAGCGUUAUCCGGAAUUAUUGGGCGUAAAGCGUCCGUAGGUAGUUAUUCAAGUCUGCUGUCAAAGCGUGGGGCUUAACUCCAUAGAGGCAGUGGAAACUGGAUGACUUGAGUGCGGUAGGGGUCGAGGGAAUUCCCAGUGUAGCGGUGAAAUGCGUAGAUAUUGGGAAGAACACCAGUGGCGAAAGCGCUCGACUGGGCCUGCACUGACACUGAGGGACGAAAGCUAGGGGAGCG